rnacentral:rRNA from 1 species
UACGAAGGGAGCUAGCGUUACUCGGAAUCACUGGGCGUAAAGCGCAUGUAGGCGGAAUUAUAAGUCAGGGGUGAAAUCCCAAGGCUCAACCUUGGAAUUGCCUUUGAAACUGUAAUACUUGAGUAUGGUAGAGGAUAGUGGAAUUUCCAGUGUAGAGGUGAAAUUCGUAGAUAUUGGAAAGAACACCAGUGGCGAAGGCGGCUAUCUGGACCAUUACUGACGCUGAGAUGCGAAAGCGUGGGGAGCAAACGGG